rnacentral:rRNA from 1 species
UACGAAGGUGGCAAGCGUUAUUCGGAUUUACUGGGCGUACAGGGAGCGUAGGCGGUUCGGUAAGCCCUUUGUGAAAUCUUCAGGCUUAACCUGGAACAGUCGGAGGGGACUGCCGGGCUAGAGGACGGGAGAGGAGCGCGGAAUUCUCGGUGUAGCAGUGAAAUGCGUAGAUAUCGAGAGGAACACCAGUGGCGAAGGCGAGUCCUUGGACAAUACCUGACACUGAGGCACGAAAGCCAGGGGAGCAAACGGG